UCCUCCUUCAUGUUUUUAAUACAGCCACUUUGUAAACAACUAAAUGUAUGUGUUCACUGUUACUGAAUUUACUGUCUCAACACUUAAGGUUAAAUGUGGAUUAUUUCGGGUCUGUUAUUUCAAGUAGUACUAACUGCCAUCCUAUAUACUAGUUUGUUUUUUCAGGGAUGCUUACCUCUCUUCCAAAUUUUAUAAGUAUUUAUUUUGCUUAUUUACCAAAUCCCCAUGAACAAAAAGUCUUAAUUAGAUGAUCUGUUGCAUAGUUCUAUUACUAAAGCUCUAACCUAAAGUAAGUAGUUAUAUAUACUUGGACCUUACAUUUCAGUAUCUUUCAAAAACUGAUCUAGACUUUUACAACUAUGAUAAAUUGGACUCAUUAAGUAAAUACAUGAGUCAGUUUAAUUUAGCAUGGCAUUCUGAGUACCUUCCCACAUAAAAUAAUAUCACUCAGCUCUAUUGUUGAUGGUCUUACUUAACAUUUCUCUCUCUCAGGCAUUGUCUUGGGACCACUUGCACCUCCACCUCCUCCACCACUCCCACCAGGGCCUGCACAGGCUUCAGUAGCCCUCCCUCCUCCCCCAGGGCCCCCUCCACCUCCUCCACUCCCAUCCACUGGGCCUCCACCGCCCCCUCCUCCCCUCCUCUCCCUAAUCAAGUACCCCCUCCUCCUCCACCACCUCCUGCCCCACCCCUCCCUGCAUCUGGAUUCUUUUUGGCAUCCAUGUCAGAAGACAAUCGCCCUUUAACUGGACUUGCAGCUGCAAUUGCCGGAGCAAAACUUAGGAAAGUGUCACGGAUGGAGGAUACCUCUUUCCCAAGUGGAGGGAAUGCUAUUGGUGUGAACUCGGCUUCAUCUAAAACAGAUACAGGCCGUGGAAAUGGACCCCUUCCUUUAGGGGGUAGUGGUUUAAUGGAAGAAAUGAGUGCCCUGCUGGCCAGGAGGAGAAGAAUUGCUGAAAAGGGGUCAACAAUAGAAACAGAACAAAAAGAGGACAAAGGUGAAGAUUCAGAGCCUGUAACUUCUAAGGCCUCUUCAACAAGUACACCUGAACCGGCAAGAAAACCUUGGGAAAGAACAAAUACAAUGAAUGGCAGCAAGUCACCUGUUAUCUCCAGACGGGAUUCUCCAAGGAAAAAUCAGAUUGUUUUUGACAACAGGUCCUAUGAUUCAUUACACAGACCAAAAUCCACACCCUUAUCACAGCCUAGUGCCAAUGGAGUCCAGACGGAAGGAUUUGACUAUGACAGGCUGAAGCAGGACAUUUUAGAUGAAAUGAGAAAGGAAUUAACAAAGCUAAAAGAAGAGCUCAUUGAUGCAAUCAGGCAGGAACUGAGCAAGUCAAAUACUGCAUAGAGGAACAGACUAAGGAGAGAUAGGACUUUAAUCUGGAGGAAAAAUAUCCUACAAACAACACCUGUUCACAACAGCAAACCCCUACAUUUUAUGAGCUGUAAGAAGAAAAUGGAGACAAACAGAAGGAGGGAAAAACCAACCUACUCUGAAAGCCUUCAGACAUUAUGACUCUGGUGAUAAGCUCUUUCCCUCUCCGUUUGCUGCUUUUUUCUGGCCUUUACAACAGAAUGGAAGAGAAUCAUAUAAGAGUUCCUGUAACAGUUAUGCAGAAAAUACUAAAACCCAUCAGGCAAGAUCACCACGCAUUGAAAUAUUUUCAUAUCAAGAUAAAGUCGCACAUUUUCCACAAUACAUUGCUAAAAUAAAGAGGAGAAAGGCUUAGGAAGUUUUUUUGCAGAGAGUGCUGGUAAAGAAUUGAGCAAGUUUGCUAUUGUAUUGUAAUGUUUCUCUCAGGUUUGUUCUUCCUAUCAUGUUUGAUAUUCCAUGAAUAAUUGAGAUCAGCCCUGUGUAAGUUAAGAUCAUAAUAUGUGGAACAAAUGGCAUUGUAAGUGCUUUCAAAGGGUAAUAUUUAUAAGAAAAUGUCCGAAAAAUGUUUCUUCAGCUUGAGGAAUUUUAGAAUGAUAGGAAGUUUCUUGAGUUAGCCUUCAUGCAAUUUUGUAGAUUAAAACAUAAAAUUUGUCCAGAACCUAAAGAUUUAGAUGCCUUCCUAAAUUGUUACAACGCUUUACCAAAUCUAUGACUUCUACAUAACACAAACCAGUGGUCAAAUGUAAACACUAUAUUGUAGAUUUACUGUAGGUUUUCAACCUUUUUUAGAUUUAUGCAUGUGGACAUUUUUAUAAUGUAAUUACAAUCACCACAAGGUUAGCUUUUUUAAUUGCAGACAGUAAUGCAUGUCACACUAAUACGUAGUGGCCUUUUCAAGGCCUAGUCCCAGGGAAAACAUUUUGUAGAACAUAGGGGAGUGGGAGGAAGGGGAGGAAUAAUUUUUUAUUUAAAGUUGAUUUCUGCACUAUCUUUUUCUCAGUUACCUGCAUGAAUAAUAAUGAGGAAUAUUUUGUGACUUUAAUUGGUAAAUAUGUUACAAAACCAAGUACUUAAUCUUUUACAUCAUGUCUUCAGAAGCUAUUUGUAUUUUAACCAGUAAUUUCAAUGGUCUGAAACAUGAUUCUGAGCUUCACAUAAUAUCUUAACUGUGGAACUCAAAAGUUUGAUCACUGAAUUUGGCAGUUAUUAUUACCUAGGUACCCCUGCUGUUAACACAAGUGUUUAGAUACGUGUUCCUGAAUGAAGCUGCUUUUGAAUUUUGUUAUGUUGAAAUGCAAGAAAUAACAAUGAUGGCAGCAAUUAAGGUCACAGAAAUCAUUAGGUAAAGGAAAACCAAUGAGGAGUUCUGCAGUUUUCUUUUAAUAAGUAAAGUGAGACUUGGGUGGUGGGAAGAAGGAAUUAGACACUCUGCCUGCCAUCCUGCGUGUGUGUGCUCUCGGGCACGUGCUGUCUAUAUGGAAGCCACUCCCUUUUCUUUCCUUUGAAACUGGUAAGGUUAAAAUAGGGGAGAAAUCCCAUAUGUUGCAACGAUAGCUUUUUGGAAAAUUUAAGAAAUCAAACUUUCCAGGCUCUCCAUCUUGAUUUAUGCUUGAGUUGUUAUGUGCCAUAUUUGCUUUGAACUCUGAUUAUCAGAAGUUUUACUAAAAUUUUGAAAUAAUUCACUUUCAUCUGCUUUCUAGAUUUUGUACAUCUCAGUCCAUAAAGCAAAGCUUGUUGAUAGUGUAGUUUUCUAAACGCUGCAAAUUUGCAGCCUUUACCACUACAAAGAAGUUUGGAUGAGGGAUUUUUUUUUUCUUUGUCAAAAUAGUUCCUGUUUCUGUAGAAAUUUCAUUUUUAGAUUAAACUGUGAUGGAUGAGCUAUCAUAAUUAAGUAUACAUUUCUUUUUUCUAUCAGAUAUUCAUUGUCAUGCAGUAGUAGUAAAAACAUCAAAGAUGCAGCAAGCUUGUUAAGUAUUAUUUUCUAAAAGAAAUAGGAGGCAUUUUCAUCUUUAUUAUUGUACUUUUGGUUAUGCAAACACUUUGAUAAUAUAAACAGUUAUGUCCCCUUUAAAUCUGGUCAGCAACCUCUUUUGAUUUUGUUGGGUAGGUACAAAUAGUUUUAAAUAGUCUAUAGUAGGUAGAGUACUGGGUACAAGUGGUCCAAACUAAGAUAAGAGACUAAAAUAAAAUGCUAAAUCUUAAAAGAAACUGGGUUUAUGCACUAAACGUUUUGUGCCUUGGUCUAAUAUUAACAUGAUGUCUGUGUAAAAUG
rnacentral:sRNA from 1 species